rnacentral:rRNA from 1 species
UACGAAGGGGGCUAGCGUUGCUCGGAAUUACUGGGCGUAAAGGGCGCGUAGGCGGAUAGUUUAGUCAGAGGGGAAAGCCCAGGGCUCAACCUUGGAAUUGCAUCCGAUACUGCCGUGCUAGAGGAUUGGAGAGGUAGCUGGAAUUCUUGGUGUAGCAGUGAAAUGCGUGGAGAUCAAGAGGAACACUCGUGGCGAAAGCGAGCUACUGGACAAUAUCUGACGCUGAGGCUCGAAGGCCAGGGUAGCGAAAGGG